CCUACGGGAGGCAGCAGUGAGGAAUAUUGGUCAAUGGUCGGGAGACUGAACCAGCCAAGCCGCGUGAGGGAGGAAGGUACAGAGUAUCGUAAACCUCUUUUGUCAGGGAACAACGGCGGGGACGUGUCCCCGGAUGAGUGUACCUGAAGAAAAAGCAUCGGCUAACUCCGUGCCAGCAGCCGCGGUAAUACGGGGGAUGCGAGCGUUAUCCGGUUUUAAUGGGUUGGAAGGGUGCGCAGGCGGUCUGUUAAGUCAGCGGUCAAAGCCCGGGGCUCAACCCCGGCCCGCCGUUGAAACUGGCAGUCUCGAGUUGGAGAGAAGUAUGCGGAAUGCGCGGUGUAGCGGUGAAAUGCAUAGAUAUCGCGCAGAACUCCGAUUGCGAAGGCAGCAUGCCGGCUCCACACUGACGCUGAGGCACGAAAGCGUGGGUAUCGAACAGGAUUAGAUACCCUUGUAGUC
rnacentral:rRNA from 1 species